UGCCAGACUCCUACGGGAGGCAGCAGUAGGGAAUCUUUCACAAUGGGCGAAAGCCUGAUGGAGCAACGCCGCGUGCAGGAUGAAGGCCUUCGGGUUGUAAACUGCUUUUAUAAGCGAGAAAUAUGAUGGUAACUUAUGAAUAAGGAUCGGCUAACUACGUGCCAGCAGCCGCGGUCAUACGUAGGAUCCGAGCAUUAUCCGGAGUGACUGGGUGUAAAGGGAGCGUAGACGGCGAUGCAAGUCUGAAGUGAAAGGCGGGGGCCCAACCCCCGGACUGCUUUGGAAACUGUAUAGCUGGAGUGCAGGAGAGGUAAGUGGAAUUCCUAGUGUAGCGGUGAAAUGCGUAGAUAUCAGGAGGAACACCGGCGGCGAAGGCGGCCUGCUGGACCGCGACUGACGUUGAGGCUCGAAAGCGUGGGGAGCAAACAGGAUUAGAUACCCCAGUACUA
rnacentral:rRNA from 1 species